rnacentral:lncRNA from 10 species
AAAACACAAAAAUUAGCCGUGUGUGGUGGUGCAGGCCUGUAAUCCCAGCUGCUCGGGAGACUGAGAAUCGCUUAAACCCGGGAGGUGGAGGUCGCAGUGAGCAGAGAUUGCACUACUGCACUCCAGCCUGGGCGACAGAACGAGACUACGUGUCAAAAAAAGAAAGAAAAAUGUUAGUAGGCAUGGCGGCACGCACCUGUAGUCCUAGCUACUUGGGAGGCAAAGGCAGGAGGAUCACUUGAGCCCAGGUGUUUCAGGCUGCAGUGAGUCGUGAUUGUGUGACUUCUCUCCAGCCUGGGCCACAGAGUGAAGACCUGUCCCCCUCCCUUCCAAAAAUUUAGGAAUGGCAACUGGGAAGUGUCUAAAAAGGUAAGGAAAAAACCCGAAAAGAGUGUGGUGUCACAGAAGCUAGGAGUGGAAAGGGUUUCAGGGAGGUAGUGGUUAAUUGACAAACAGCAAGUUCAUAAACCUUUGACCCAGUAACCUUAAUCCUAGAAAUCUAUUUGACAAGGGGCCAGUUUGUAAAAUCAUAGGUCCAGGGAUGCUUAUUCAAGCCAUGGAAUACUCUUCCACAAUGAAAAUAAGUAAGAUUAUUCUCAUUUCAAAUAAAUAUUUAUCGAAUGCCUACUGUUCUCAGCAUUGGGAAAACCAUAGUAACGUCAUGUGUCAGCUUUGCAAACUAGGGCCCCAGUCAAAUCUUGGCCUGCCACUUGUUUUGUAAAUAAGGUUCUGUGGGAACACAGUAUCACCCAUUCAUUUACACAUUGUCUAUGGCUCCUCUCAAGCUACAACAGCAGUCUUGAUUUGUUAUUAUAUUGAGUGGUUGCAACAGAGACUAUCCAGCCUGCAAAGCCUGAACUAUUUCCUCGCUGGCUCUUCACAGAAGAGGUUUGCUUACCUCAAUCUGUGUGACUGACCACUAAUGAUGCUUCUGAGUGUUGUUAAGAAGGCAAGUUUUAAUAUAUGCAUGAUCCCAUUGUUUUUGUAAAUAACACCACCUCAAGCCCCGCCCCACCCCGCUUUUUUUUUUUUUUUGAGUCAGAGUCUCACUUGGUCAUCCAGGCUGCAGUGCAGUGGUGCCAUCUUGGCUUACUGCAAUCUCCACCUCCCGGGCUCAGGAAAUUUUCCCACCUCAGCCUCCUGAGUAGCUGGGACUACUGGCAUGCGCCACCACGUCCAGCUAAUUUUUUUUAGAGAUGGGGUUUUGCCAUGUUGCCCAGGCUAGUCUCGAACUCCUAGACUCAACUGAUCUGCCCACCUCGGCCUUUCAAAGUGCUGGGAUUACAGGCAUGAGCCACCUUGCCUGGCCUAAAACCCCCAGCUCUUGAUACGACUACACAUGUGUGUAUUGGAUGGGUUUGCGGUUGCUUUUGAACAUCAAUGGGGGUAGGUCCUAUACAGUCACAUCCCUCCAACUCUCCCUGCAUUUCUUACCCUUCCUUCUCCCACCAGCUCUUGAAUGUGCCAAACAUACACUGACCUCAGGGCCUUGUCACGGGACAGCUCCCUGCAUCUGGAACUAUUUUUCUGUGAUUUGCUCCCCUCAUUUUCUUUUGGUUUCUGCUCAACGUUAUUGCUGUGGCUUGAACAUGUCCCUCAACAAUUUCUGUGUUGGAGACUUUAUCCCCAGUGCAUGAUAUUGGGAGGUGGGGCCUAAUAAGAGGCGAUUGAAUCAUGAAUGGGGGUGGAGCCUUCAUGAAUUAAUGUCGUUAUUACGGAAGGAGUGGGUUGGUUAUUGAGAGGGUGGAUUGUUAUAAAGCGAGUCUGGCCCCGGUGCCUCUCUGUCUUGUGUAAGAAAUAAAUUUCUUUUCUGGCUGGUCCAAGUGCAAUGAUGUUUGCAACUAAUUGAUCACAAUCAGUUACAGAUUUCUUUGUUCCUUCUCCACUUCCACUGCGUCACUUGACUAGCCUUAAAGAGGGAGAGAAAUAAAUUUUUCAUUAUAAAUUACCCAGUUUGUGGUAUUCUAAUUUCAUUAUAAAUUACCCAGUUUGUGGUAUAUCAGCAGGAAACAGACUGUUAUCAGAAGCGCCUCCUCAACCACCUAUUUAAAAAUAGAGUUUUUCCCCUGCACUCUGUGUCUCUUCUUCCCCUGUUCCACUUUUUUUCGUAGAAAUUUUCAUCACCCGAGAUAUGUAUUUCUGCCUCUCCCAUCCCCAACGAGAAUGUCAGUGUCAGUGGAGCAGGGAUGCUGUCUGUCUUUUUACACCUUCAUGUCCAGUCCUUAGAAAAGUCCAAAAAUGGGCCGGGCACAGUGGCUCAAGCCUGUAAUUCCAGCUCUUUGCGAGGCUGAGGCGGGCGGAUCACCUGAGGUCAGGAGUUCGAGACCAGCCUGGCCAACAUGGUGAAACCCCCGUCUCUAGUAAAAAUACAAAAAUUAGCUGGGUGUAGUGGUGCAUGCCUGCAAUCCCAGCUACUCAGGAGGCUGAGGGAAGAGAAUCACUUGAACUGGGGAGGCACGGGUUGCAGUGCAAUGAGCCAAGAUCACAGCACUGCACUCCAACCUGGGCGAUAGAGUGAGCAAGACUUCAUCUCAAAAAAAAAAAAAGAAAAAAGAAAAAAAAAGAAAAAAGAAAAGUCCACAUACAGCUAGACACAAUAGCACAUACCUGUAGUCCCAGCUACCUGGGAGGCUGAGGCAGAAAGGUGCUUGAAACCAGGGUUUCAAGGCUGCAGUGAGCUAAUGCACUCCAGCCUGGGUGACAGAGUGAGACCCUAUCUCUAAAAACAAAACAAAACAAAAACAAAACUGCAGCACACAUAGUAAGUGCUAAUUGAGAGCAGCGCCACUCUGGGACAUUGUGCAGAGCACGUGAAGCGAGACUCUCCAUUCAGCAGAUAUUAGUGUGCUGAUGGGUUCACCAGGAUGUGCUGGUGGGAUGGAAUCUUCCACCUUCUGGUUAGUGCUGCCCAGACACACCACCUUCAGAGGGGAGCAAGGAUGUCCUCACCAGAUCCCACAUUUCCUCCGCCAAGACUUAUCCAAACAGAAAAUUCCAGUGUGGCUCUGGAGCCACUGGAACUCUCAGAUUGUUGUUGGCAGUG